GAUGGUUCGUCUCGACUCACAGUUGGUACCAAGUCGGUGUCUUAAUUGCAUUUUCCACUGCAGACAGUAAGAGGCGGACAUCAUCUUCAACGGGACACUCGCUGAAUCCUUUCUUCGGCAACCAAACAGGAACACUUCGUAAAUUGUACAGAUUACUUUUGCGGGCUGUCACUAUUGACAGUUGCUUGGCUAUCUAAAAAUGGUGGGUUUGUGCAGGAUGUCCCAUCACGAUUCUCUCUGACCAAUCAGUGGCCCGCAGUGUUUUAACUGCACCUUCUAGUAUCGGCUCAGCUCGCUUGGAACCUCAACCGAGGUGAUGGCACAUACAGUAGUUCAAUAACAGUAGUUCAAUAACAGUAGGUCCAUCCACAACUUUUGACAAUGGAAAACCAAAAAAGAAAGGUUCAAUUGCCAUGCAGUGGAAAUGCAGCAUCGGUCAUUUGGUCAUCCUGUAUGGAUCCAAGCAUUAAACUGCACAGCAAAAACUGGAGAGUUGACAUUUCAGGGUUAAACAUUUCUGAGUUGAUUUCAACUCACGUAGUGUUACUUUAACAUUUUCGGAUUCAAAUGGUGUUUAUUGUUGGAGUUAUUUAAGUGUUAAUCAUGUCAGAGUUAGACCAACUCUGCAGAGACGUGAUUAUGCUCCGCCCCUGCAUGUCACUGCUUCGGUUGGAGACGAGUCCACGACAAGUCAGCUCAAUUUUCUCUCCUCAUGCAGUUGACAGGUAAAAAUGUUGGUCCAGGUGAAGUACAGACAACAGCACAAGUAUGUGAAAUUGGAUGCAGUUGAAGGACAGUUUGACUUUCUACAUUUCAAUGAAAAAGUCGUUGAGAGAUUUUGCCUGCCACCUGAUGCAAAGGUUGUAUACAAGGAUGCAACGGAGACAGAAGUUAAUACAGAAAUAUUCAGAGACCUCAUUGGACGAGGCAACGUGGUGCUGAGUUUUCUCAGAGUUCUCUGA
rnacentral:lncRNA from 1 species